rnacentral:ncRNA from 1 species
GCGAGGUGCCGCGGGUCAGCGGCUGACGCCAGCCACUUUUCCCGACCCGUCUUGAAACACGGACCAAGGAGUCUAACAUGUGCGCGAGCCGCGGGGCAGUACGAAACCCGUAAGGCGAAAUGAAGGUGAACGCCGGCGCGGUCCGGCGGAGGUUGGAUCCCGUCCCGUCGGGGCGGGCGCACUACCGGCCGAUCUUCUCCGCCCUGUCGGCGAGGUCGAGCGAGAGCGUGCAAGUCGGGACCCGAAAGAUGGUGAACUAUGCCUGAGGAGGUUGAAGCCAGAGGAAACUCUGGUGGAGGACCGUAGCGAUUCUGACGUGCAAAUCGAUCGUCAAAUUUGGGUAUAGGGGCGAAAGACUAAUCGAACCGUCUAGUAGCUGGUUCCCUUCGAAGUUUCCCUCAGGAUAGCUGGCGCUCUGUCGCAGUUUUAUCUGGUAAAGCGAAUGAUUAGAGGUCUUGGGGGCGAAACGCCCUCAACCUAUUCUCAAACUUUAAAUUGGUAAGAAGCCCGACUCGCUCGUUUGGAGCCGGGCAUGGAAUGCGAGUGCCAAGUGGGCCACUCUUGGUAAGCAGGACUGGCGAUGCGGGAUGAACCGAACGCCGGGUUAAGGCGCCCGACGCGACGCUCAUCAGAGCCCACAAAAGGUGUUGGUUGAUAUAGACAGCAGGACGGUGGCCAUGGAAGUCUGUAGA